UUGAUCCUGGCUCAGAAUCAACGCUUGGCGGCGUGCCUAACGCAUGCAAUUCGAACGAGAAAGUGGAGCAAUCCAUGAGUAAAGUGGCGACCGGGUGAGUAACACGUGACUAACCUACCUUCGAGUGGGGGAUAACCUCGGGAAACCGGUGCUAAUACCGCAUAAUAUCUUCGGGAUGAGAAGCCGAAGAUCAAAGGAGUAAUUCGCUGGAAGAGGGAGUCGCGGCUGAUUAGCUAGUUGGCGGGGUAAUGGCCCACCAAGGCUUUGAUCGGUAGCCGGCCUGAGAGGGCGCACGGCCAUACUGGAACUGAAACACGGUCCAGACUCCUACGGGAGGCAGCAGUGGGGAUUUUUGCGCAAUGGGGGAAACCCUGACGCAGCAACGCCGCGUGGAGGAUGUAGUCCCUUGGGACGUAAACUCCUUUCGACCCGGACGAUAAUGACGGUACUGGUGGAAGAAGCCCCGGCUAACUUCGUGCCAGCAGCCGCGGUAAUAAGGUCGU
rnacentral:rRNA from 1 species